GUUUGAUCCUGGCUCAGAUUGAACGCUGGCGGCAUGCCUUACACAUGCAAGUCGAACGGCAGCACGGGUGCUUGCACCUGGUGGCGAGUGGCGAACGGGUGAGUAAUACAUCGGAACGUACCUUAUCGUGGGGGAUAACGCAGCGAAAGCUGUGCUAAUACCGCAUACGCCCUGAGGGGGAAAGCGGGGGAUCGAAAGACCUCGCGCGAUUAGAGCGGCCGAUGCCUGAUUAGCUUGUUGGUGGGGUAAAAGCCCACCAAGGCGACGAUCAGUAGCUGGUCUGAGAGGACGAUCAGCCACACUGGGACUGAGACACGGCCCAGACUCCUACGGGAGGCAGCAGUGGGGAAUUUUGGACAAUGGGGGAAACCCUGAUCCAGCAAUGCCGCGUGAGUGAAGAAGGCCUUCGGGUUGUAAAGCUCUUUUGUCAGGGAAGAAACACCGGCUCUAACACAGUCCGGGAAUGACGGUACCUGAAGAAUAAGCACCGGCUAACUACGUGCCAGCAGCCGCGGUAAUACGUAGGGUGCGAGCGUUAAUCGGAAUUACUGGGCGUAAAGCGUGCGCAGGCGGUUAUACAAGACAGGCGUGAAAUCCCCGGGCUUAACCUGGGAAUGGCGCCUGUGACUGUAUAGCUAGAGUGUGUCAGAGGGGGGUAGAAUUCCACGUGUAGCAGUGAAAUGCGUUAGAUAUGUGGAGGAAUAACCAAUGGCGAAGGCAGCCCCCUGGGAUAACACUGACGCUCAUGCACGGAAGCGUGGGGAGCAAACAGGAUUAGAUACCCUGGUAGUCCACGCCCCUAAACGAUGCUGACUAGUGUUCGGGAUUUACACCCUGAGCCAGCGCCGCCUAACGCGUGAAGUCAGCCGCCUGGGGAGUACCGUCGCCAGGAUUAAACCUCAAAGGA
rnacentral:rRNA from 1 species